UGGGGAAUAUUGCACAAUGGGCGCAAGCCUGAUGCAGCGACGCCGCGUGAGGGAUGACGGCCUUCGGGUUGUAAACCUCUUUCAGUAGGGAACAAGGCCUUCGGGUUGAGGGUACCUGCAGAAGAAGCGCCGGCUAACUACGUGCCAGCAGCCGCGGUAAUACGUAGGGCGCAAGCGUUGUCCGGAAUUAUUGGGCGUAAAGAGCUCGUAGGCGGUUUGUCGCGUCUGCUGUGAAAACGCGAGGCUUAACCUCGCGCCUGCAGUGGGUACGGGCAGACUAGAGUGCGGUAGGGGAGACUGGAAUUCCUGGUGUAGCGGUGGAAUGCGCAGAUAUCAGGAGGAACACCGGUGGCGAAGGCGGGUCUCUGGGCCGUUACUGACGCUGAGGAGCGAAAGCAUGGGGAGCGAACAG
rnacentral:rRNA from 1 species